CGGACCCAGAUAUAGAGGAGUAUAACACCAGGAGGUUCCACUUCGCUGAGCAUAUCUCGCCAUCAAUGGAGAGCAGGAGUCUCGCUGAGAGCCAUGAGAAGAUCAGUAAGCUCCAAGCCUGGUGCAAGUUCCAGGACAAGUUCAUUGGUAAGUGCUUCAAGAUGUGCACAUCCAUACAGAAGAAGUUGAACCGCUCCUCUACUAGCACUACUGCACCA
rnacentral:pre_miRNA from 1 species